ACGAACGCUGGCGGCGUGCUUAACACAUGCAAGUCGAACGGAAAGGCCCUGCUUUUGUGGGGUGCUCGAGUGGCGAACGGGUGAGUAACACGUGAGUAACCUGCCCUUGACUUUGGGAUAACUUCAGGAAACUGGGGCUAAUACCGGAUAGGAGCUCCUGCUGCAUGGUGGGGGUUGGAAAGUUUCGGCGGUUGGGGAUGGACUCGCGGCUUAUCAGCUUGUUGGUGGGGUAGUGGCUUACCAAGGCUAUGACGGGUAGCCGGCCUGAGAGGGUGACCGGCCACAUUGGGACUGAGAUACGGCCCAGACUCCUACGGGAGGCAGCAGUGGGGAAUAUUGCACAAUGGGCGGAAGCCUGAUGCAGCAACGCCGCGUGCGGGAUGACGGCCUUCGGGUUGUAAACCGCUUUCGCCUGUGACGAAGCGUGAGUGACGGUAAUGGGUAAAGAAGCACCGGCUAACUACGUG
rnacentral:rRNA from 1 species